rnacentral:rRNA from 2 species
UCGACCUCAGAUCAGGUAGGAAUACCCGC